rnacentral:rRNA from 1 species
GACGAACCGUGCGAACGUUAUUCGGAAUCACUGGGCUUAAAGGGCGCGUAGGCGGGCCGCCAGGUCCGGGGUGAAAGCCUCCAGCUCAACUGGAGAAGUGCCUUGGAUACCGGCGGCCUCGAGGGAGGUAGGGGCGUGCGGAACUUCGGGUGGAGCGGUGAAAUGCGUAGAUAUCCGAAGGAACACCGGUGGCGAAAGCGGCGCGCUGGAUCUCUUCUGACGCUGAGGCGCGAAAGCCAGGGGAGCAAACGGG